UUUAGUACCCCAAAUUAACGAGCGGUGUAGUGCUUGGUUAUGCAGGAGUUUAGAGGCUGGAGAAUCACCAGUGGGCUCUAUGCCUGUGCCAAGGUGCUGCUUCACUGGAUGUGCUCCAGAAGUCUCCUUUCUGUGUAGGCCUAUCUCCUUUUCUCGAAGCUGAACCUCCAGAGAGUCCUUUCUUGAGUUGUCCGGCAAGCUGACAGCAAACCACCCCAACAUCUCACCAAAAAGAUCACGGUUGCCUUCACCUGCACGAGGAACUCUGGACACCUCAUCUACAAAUUGAGCUGGUGAAGAGCUGGGGCACACAUAUAGGUCUGGCUAUCACCAACACUGUCCAUCCAAAGGGAUUCUGUCUGAAGUGAUCUGAAGAUGUGUAGAAGAGUGUGAGUGCUUCUCAUCAAAUCUCCAGAUAGUGGCAAGUUGAGACUCUACGGAUCAGCUAAUCAGCAGCCAACCUCGCUCUCCAUCCUUCCCUGCUGAGUGGGAGCUCUGCACCAGACGCCUCAGUGUCCUGGAGCCCUCUGCCAAGUAGCUGAUGUUGCUCUACAUGCCAUCUCCCACCUCCUCCUUCCGAAGACAGCAUGAUCACUGUCCCCAGUAUAUUUCCAAACAGAUGAUUAGCUAUGGAAUUGCCAGAUUUGGUCACCAGACAGAGGAAAAGAAGAUAAAUAAAAAUAAAAGGGAAAAUAAAAAGAAAAUUAGAAAGAAAAAAAAGAAAAAAGAAACAAGGAAAAGAGAAAGGAAAAGGGAAAGGGGAAGGGAAGAGGAAAUGGAAAAAGGGAAAAGAGAAAAGGGAAAAGGAAAAAGGAAAAAAGAAAAAGGAAAAAGGAAAGGGAAAAGGAAAAAGGAAAAAAGACAAAGAAGAAAAAGAA